rnacentral:antisense_RNA from 1 species
CUUCACCGACCCCAACCACAACGGCCGAUCACCAGGCCGACCCUGACCAUAGGUCGCCAACAACGCCUGUGCCUC